AGUGAACGCUGGCGGUAGGCCUAACACAUGCAAGUCGAACGGCAGCACAGUAAGAGCUUGCUCUUACGGGUGGCGAGUGGCGGACGGGUGAGGAAUACAUCGGAAUCUACUUUUUCGUGGGGGAUAACGUAGGGAAACUUACGCUAAUACCGCAUACGACCUACGGGUGAAAGCAGGGGAUCUUCGGACCUUGCGCGAUUGAAUGAGCCGAUGUCGGACUAGCUAGUUGGCGGGGUAAUGGCCCACCAAGGCGACGAUCCGUAGCUGGUCUGAGAGGAUGAUCAGCCACACUGGAACUGAGACACGGUCCAGACUCCUACGGGAGGCAGCAGUGGGGAAUAUUGGACAAUGGGCGCAAGCCUGAUCCAGCCAUACCGCGUGGGUGAAGAAGGCCUUCGGGUUGUAAAGCCCUUUUGUUGGGAAAGAAAAGCAGCAGGUUAAUACCCCGCUGUUCUGACGGUACCCAAAGAAUAAGCACCGGCUAACUUCGUG
rnacentral:rRNA from 1 species